ACAGUCGGCGCAUGCGCGGGGCGGACUUGGCGGUGAAAGGCGCUUCCUCAGCCCGCGAGGGAGACCCAGAAGUAGUACUGAGUUAGCGCUCGUCCUCCCGCCGGUCCACCACCACCAAGUGUAGCCCGGGCCCGGCCUAUUUCCUCAGACACAGCCCCAGAGUCGAGAGCCACUCCUACCCCGGGAGCCCUUCGCCAAGCGCGCAGCUCCAGACCAGAAGCAGCCGCUCCGACCCAGAGCUCCGGGUGGGGCAGAAGAAUCUUUUCUUGCUGCUCUCCUAGGAUCUACCAACCAGAGAUUCUAAUGUGAUAUGUUUGGAAUGGAGUUAUCGAUCUGCAUUUUUAAUAGGCAUUCCUCCAGGUUUCUACCGUCUGUGGAACAUGGAAUCAAACCAGAAUAUGUUGGCACAACAGGCCAGUAAAACCGGUUCUUCUGUAGAUCCAGAACUUGUCCAACCAGUCUGUAUCAAAGGCUAGCCCAACAUGCUGCAGCGGCUCAGCUCUGCUAAGCUCGUACUGGAAUGAGAGGGGGAAAUGGAAGGAGAAAAAAAAACAAUGAUAAAAAGCCUAGAGAUGACCACAUAUGAAACGACCACGUGUGCAAAGGACUGCUGGAAAAUCAAUCAGAUUAAUAGCACCAAAUCUGUGGAGCUAGAAGAUGUGGAUUCAAACUCCUGCUGCACAUCUUGUAUGCUUUUUGAUUUUGAAAGAGUUUUUUUUUUUUCCUUUUUGAGCCUUGGCUUCCAUAUACACAAAAUGAAGUUACCAGUAAUAUCAACCUUAUAGGGGAUGGCCUGGAUCCUGCCAUGUAAAUCAAAGAAGAGAGGGCCUAACUUAGCUGCCUAGCCUGGAUCACCUGGAACCCAUUAGGAUACAGGAUCAUAAACACCUCUAUUUUCCCUUCAGAGAGAGACCAGAACCACUGGAGUUAAGCUACCUGCAUAAGAGUUGAGUGCGAUCAGCUGUACUUAAUCUUUAAAUGUCCAACCCACCGAUAACCUUUGGUUUGCUUUGAUAACUAUGAAAUAAAUUCUCACUGCAUUGG